rnacentral:rRNA from 1 species
CACGUAGGCACCAAGCGUUGUCCGGAUUUAUUGGGCGUAAAGAGCUCGUAGGCGGUUCAGUAAGUCGGGUGUGAAAACUUUGGGCUUAACCCAAAGCGUGCAUCCGAUACUGCUGUGACUUGAGUUCGGUAGGGGGUAGCGGAAUUCCCAGUUGUAGCGGUGAAAUGCGUAGAUAUUGGGAGGAACACCGGUGGCGAAGGCGGCUACCUGGACCGGUUCUGACGCUGAUGCGCGAAAGCGUGGGAUGAGGCAAACAAGGGAUUAGAA